rnacentral:tRNA from 1 species
AGAAACUUAGGUUAAUCUAAACCAAAAGCCUUCAAAGCCUUAAAUAAGAGUUAAACCCUCUUAGUUUCUG